AACGAACGCUGGCGGCAUGCCUAACACAUGCAAGUCGAACGCGUGUAGCAAUACACGAGUGGCGCACGGGUGAGUAACGCGUGGGAACCUGCCCAGUGGUAGGGAAUAACUGCGGGAAACUGCAGCUAAUACCCUAUACGCCCUACGGGGGAAAGUUUUUCGCCAUUGGAGGGGCCCGCGUCGGAUUAGCUAGUUGGUGAGGUAAGAGCUUACCAAGGCGACGAUCCGUAGCUGGUCUGAGAGGAUGAUCAGCCACACUGGGACUGAGACACGGCCCAGACUCCUACGGGAGGCAGCAGUGGGGAAUAUUGGACAAUGGGGGCAACCCUGAUCCAGCAAUGCCGCGCGAGUGAUGAAGGCCUUAGGGUUGUAAAGCUCUUUCGACGGGGACGAUGAUGACGGUACCUGUAGAAGAAGCCCCGGCUAACUUCGUGCCAGCCGCCGCGGUAAAAC
rnacentral:rRNA from 1 species